GCUUGCCGAAAGUGUUCAAGGCUCUUAACCUUGUGGUCGUGGGUUCGAGCCCCACGGUGGGCG
rnacentral:tRNA from 1 species